UUCAAGUAAUCCAGGAUAGGCUGUUCACAUUCUGCGUGGCCUAUUCUUGAUUACUUGCAUU
rnacentral:pre_miRNA from 2 species